rnacentral:misc_RNA from 1 species
GGCUUGCUAUGGCUUAUGAGGCAAAUAACCGCCAUGGAGAUUGCAUUGCUUUGUACCAGCAAUUAGAGAAGACGCAUCCCAGUGUCAGCAUCAGGCGCCAGGCGGCCGAGCUUCGCUAUAUUUUGCAAGCACCAAAAAUCAAGAUAUCUCAGGAGGAAAUGGUUACAAUACCUCUAAUUGGUUCUAGUUACGACAGCUACGCAGCAACGUGGAGCGACAAGAACAAAGACAAAGACCAGAAAGGAAGCUGGUCGACGACGAAUCAGCUGCCAUCGUCUAGGGACUAUUUGGGGGACUUUCUUGUUUGGCGACCUCCGA